GAUGUUGGAAAGACAGGAGAAUUGGAUUGGAAAAUGUUGACAUCUUGUGUCUUUGUCUGAUCCAUUAUUUUGUGGAAUUUUUUUUUUCUUUCUUUUUUUUUUUUCA
rnacentral:ribozyme from 13 species